rnacentral:rRNA from 1 species
UACGUAGGGGGCAAGCGUUGUCCGGAAUCAUUGGGCGUAAAGAGCGCGUAGGCGGCCCUGUAAGUCCGCUGUGAAAGUCAAGGGCUCAACCCUUGGAUGCCGGUGGAUACUGCAGGGCUUGAGUACGGAAGAGGCGAGUGGAAUUCCUGGUGUAGCGGUGAAAUGCGCAGAUAUCAGGAGGAACACCAAUUGCGAAGGCAGCUCGCUGGGACGUUACUGACGCUGAGACGCGAAAGCGUGGGGAGCAAACAGG